GUUCAUAUCCGUCAGGACUGGCAGUACCCCCACCAGAUGAGCCUGUCACCACCCAGGCAGAGCAUGUUGUGGGCAUGCGUCUGAAAGUUACGUCAGCUGAACGUCUGAAUGAGAAUGAAGUUGAGGAGAAGAUCCUGAAGCCAUUCAGAGAGUAUUUGAGACAGCAGGGAAUAGACGUGACCAGGAUUCGCCUGCGGAGGUUUUAUGAGGUACAGCCCUGAGAGAAGAUGGAGAAGAGAGAAAGAGGAUGGAGGGAGUGAAGAGAGAGAAGAAGAGUGAGGAUACAGAGAGAAGAGGAAAAGGAAAGAUGAAGAGGAUGAAGAGAUGGCAGCCGCUGUGACUAGCCGCUAGCUCAGGUGUGAUUAGCUGAAAUGUCUGUAGUGUAGUGUUCCUGUGGGCAGAGGUAGAAAAAGUACAGAAAGCUUGUACUCGAGUAAAAUUACAUUUACUUUGCUUAAAUCCUACUCAAGUGAAUGUAAAACUACCCAUCUAAAACCAAGUAACGUAAAAGUAAAAAAAAGUGCUUCACGUAAAAUGCAAUUUGUGUAAAACUACUUAUUUUAAUGAGCUUAAUUAGCUUUCCUCUCAAGAACUCUAGCUUUUUCCCCUGCAUAUCAUACUCCAUGAACUCUAUCUCUUGCUAGGCACCAGCCAUCAUCCAACGCACUAACCCAAGACAGGUGGGAUGGGUAAAAGUUAGGGAUAAUGCAAUACUGCACAACUUCCUUUAAUAUCCCAUAGAUUGUUUUUCUUCUCUAUCAAUCCAAUUUUACUUAUUUUUAAAACUACUUGAAAAAUGACAAAGUACUCAUAAAAGCUACUUAAUGCUUGUGUGAAUUUAAUAAUAAUACAUUUUAUUUUAAGUGCCUUUCAAGAUACCCAAGGACACUACAAUCAAAACCGAUAGAUAACAGUAGAUAAAGUAUAACAAAGCUUCAAUGAAUUAACAAUAGGAGAAUAAUUUAAA